rnacentral:rRNA from 1 species
UACGAAGGGGGCUAGCGUUGUUCGGAAUUACUGGGCGUAAAGCGCACGUAGGCGGCUUUGUAAGUUAGGGGUGAAAGCCCGGAGCUCAACUCCGGAAUUGCCUUUAAGACUGCAUCGCUUGAAUCCGGGAGAGGUGAGUGGAAUUCCGAGUGUAGAGGUGAAAUGCUUAGAUAUGACAUAGAACACCAAUUGCGAAGGCAGCUCACUACGGGAUCAUUGACACUGAGGCACGAAAGCGUGGGGAUCAAACAGG